rnacentral:rRNA from 1 species
UACGUAGGGUGCGAGCGUUGUCCGGAAUUAUUGGGCGUAAAGAGCUCGUAGGCGGUUUGUUGCGUCGGCCGUGAAAACCUGCAGCUUAACUGUGGGCCUGCGGCCGAUACGGGCAGACUUGAGUUCGGUAGGGGAGACUGGAAUUCCUGGUGUAGCGGUGAAAUGCGCAGAUAUCAGGAGGAACACCGGUGGCGAAGGCGGGUCUCUGGGAAGUAACUGACGCUGAGAAGCGAAAGCGUGGGUAGCGAACAGG